UGAGGAAUCAGGGAUGAAUCAGAGGCCCAGAACGCACAUCACAGACCCACCUUAAUGCUCCCAGCUUUCACCUUUUUUUUAAAAAAAAGAUUUAUUUAUUAUGUAUAUAGCGUUCUCUCUGCAUGUAGCCUGCAACCUCUGAGCCAUCUCUCCCACCUCCUCACCUUUAGUCUUAAGAAUAACUAGCACCAGGCCUGGUGCUGCAUGCCUUUAAUCCCAGCGCUCAGGAGGUAGAGGCAGGAGGAUCUCUGUGAGUUUGAGGCCAGCCUGGUCUACGGAGUUCCAGAUCAGUCAUGGGUACAUAGAAAGACCUCACCUCAAAAGGAAACAAAAAACACAAACAAACAAAAUAAACAAGAAGAGGAGAAGGAGGAGUUGUAAUUGAGGACUUGGAACCAGCUGACCAAGAGGAUCCUAUGCCCUCUUUAGCUUCCCUGGGCACUAGGCAUGCAUGUGGUGCACAGACAGAUAGGCUACAUAUCCAUACAUUAUCCAGACAUAAUAAAGAUUUUCAAAUAACUGAGUCAAUUUAAACUAGUUAAAUUUUAAAAUUUUAGUUCAGACUGGGAUGGAUGACAGCAUCCAGGAGCUGGCGGCAGGCUGAUCUUUGCAUCGAGGCCAGCCAGAUCUACAGCAAGUUCAAGGCCAGCCCCGCCUACAUAGUGAGAGCCUACAUCUAAAGUAAUUACUCUAACGUCACGUACUCCAUAAGCAGAGGAGGCUGUGGUGGUUCCUCCAGCUGUUUUCCUCUGUCUGCAGUCUCUGCAUGGAGACCUGUCUGACCAGUAUUUGCUCGGCACUACCCUUGGAUAUCCAAUGGGUGCAUCAAACUCGGCAUGUCCAAAACUGCCGUUCUGAAUCCCACACCACCGGUGGAACCAGCAAGGCCAGUCUUCAUCUUUGUGAGUGAGCCUGAAAGGCUGCCUUGCUCAUUCCCAACCACCCAGUCCCAACCCUAAACAUGUCUACAAACACAGCUCUGUCGGGCUCUGUCCUCUUACUGCCUCUCCUCCUUGAGCUCUCAUGACCAUCUGCCCAUAUUGUCUGUUUCAAUUCUGUCUUUUGUUUCAAGUUCCGGGAAAGAGGAUUUUUUGUUUGCUUUGUAGCGAUAAUUUGUUUAAGUCAAGGGCUCGCUACCUGACUGACCUUAACUGUGGGAGAUCCUGUUGCCCCGGCCUCCAGAGUGCUGGGAUUACAACCUUGUCACCACAUCGGCUUCAAUAAAUAUUUUCAAUGAAUGAUGACUUUCAGGUGGGGAAACCCUGAAACCAAUCCAGAACAUGUGCCCCUGUCCAGAGCUGUGAAAACAGGAUUUGGGAACUCCAGCCACUGUACCGGGCACUGGGACCUGACUAUCCGCAAGGUGCAGACAGGGACUGAUCACACAGCGCCCAAGCGGUUGAUGUCCUCUCUCAGCGACUGGGAUAGAGAGAGAUGGCUUUGGCUACAACUGCUUCUGGGCCAGGUAAUCCUGGAGGAAGGAAUGACGCGCACCUUUGGGCACCAGCUGCAGUUGUUUGGGUGCUGCUGCUAAAUGACCAGAGGUCCCGGAAGCCGAUCCGGAGGAGGAGCUACGGCCCGUGCAAACGGGCGCGGUGACCCGGGGUGUGCGAGCCCCCGGGGACAGGCAGUCAGACAUCGCGGCUCCUACGCGCCGGACCUAGUUUACAAAGGCGAGCCCGGCCCUGCCCCGCGGCGUCUUGGACCAGUCCCACCGAGUGGGUCCCCAACCAAUGAACCCCAGUUCUUCUGAGCCGCGGCUCCAUGAGUCCCAAAUGUCCCCGGCUCCUGUGGGUUCCAGGCUCUCCGGUCGCUUGCCCCGGCGGACAAGGAUGGGUCAUCUACUGCGAAGACGAAAAUCUUUCCAGGAAGUUUGUACCUAUUAAUAUUGCAGUUCCUGGCAGCGGCUCUCCGCGCCGGAGCGGGGGCGGGGCAGACCUUUUCCAGACGAGUGUCCGCCUCUGGCCGGAGGCAAGGGCCGGAGGGGCAGCUUUCUAGGUCCCUUCGCCCAGGGCAGGGGUAGGACCUGCUCCGAUGCUCAAGGCGCCAGAGCCCAGAGGAUUGGCCGCGAGUAGCGCGCGGUGUGACCGGGAGGCCAAGACCCAAAUCUAGAGCUGGGACGCGGGAGGGGGAAGGGAGAGGAAUCCAUGAAUCGGUUACCAGAGGCCGCUAGGCCGCGCCGCUUUCAAAAAAAAGCGGGCAUCCUCCUGUAGUGGGAGACUACGAGCCUCGGGGCCCUGGAGAGGUCGGGACCCUGGUUCUGACCUUGCUGUGGUUACACAGCCGCCGGGAGCUGCAGCAGAAAUUUGAUGUUCGAAAGCUUGUGGCUUCCUCGCCACCACCUUGCACGACUGUCAUUAUCUCCAGUCACAGACACAGAAAUUAGAGGUCGUUGUGUUGUUACCCGCCGCAAGGCCUGGUGUGCACAACGGGAUCUCUUAGAAGGAAGCGCAGCUGUUUUCCUGCAGAAGCGCCCCGGAACCACACGACCUGCCGCUUUCUGGAUUUGCAGAAGUUCCUUGGGGCAGAAGUGCCAGAUCAUUCCUUCUCUCGGUCCACAGAUGAAGGUACCACAAGAGGGAAAAGGUCCUGUGAGGCGAAUGCUCUGUCUGGAUUCAGCUUGGGUGGAUCAAGCAACUCAUCGCCUUCCCUUUGGGCUGCAGAAAGCUGCGAGGUAGCCGCGCACAGAUCUCUGGAACAAAGAUUGGUAGCAUCAGCUGUUUUAAUGCAGAGUUCGGCACACAAUCCUUGCUAAAAAUAAAUACAAAGGAAACCCCAGAGCAGCUAAGCCUA
rnacentral:sRNA from 1 species